CUUGAGGCCAGGAGUUCCAGACCAGGCUUGUUAACAUAAUAGAUCCCAUUCCUACAGAAAAAAAAAAAAAAAAAGAAUGCCCAGGGUUGCUCAGCAUGUGUGGGCUGAACUCCCAGCCUUGCCCUCCUUGGCUCCAGGCUACAAGCCUUCUCUUGUUCUCCAUCCCUCUUCAGAGCGAAUGUGAACGCGCUGCUGCUUCACUUCUGACUUUAGGGCCGUUAGAAUUGUUCAGACGGCACUAAGGCCAGAAGUUAUCCUCUUUCCGGAUAAACCAGCCACGUGACUCGUACAUCCUGCAGUGCUGACAGGAAGGAGGGCAGGAUGGGAAGUGGGAAAGACUGGCCGUGAGGAGAACGUUCUGGCUACUAGGCUGAGAUCAUAAAAGGAUUAUUGGUGGAAACGCUCACUAGGAAAGGAAGACUUCAGGGGAGGCCCCUUGAAUCCAGCUCCACCAGAAUCACCAGCACCACCCGUCCCCAGCCUGUUCCCUUCGUCUCCCUCCUCUUCCCAAAGUGAGACAAGGUCUCACUAUGUUGCCCUGAUUGGUCUCCAACUCCUGGACUCAAGCAAUCCUCCUGCCUCAGCCUCCCAAAGUGCUGGGAUUACAGUCAUGAGCUACCACAUAUUUCUUAGUAAUGACAAGGGUGCUGGGACUACAGGUAUGAGCCACUGUGCCAGCCAGGACGGAGGAAGAAGUAGAAAGGCAUAGGAGGAGCCCAGGAAGGAGUAUGCCAGCCUAAGAGAAGAGUGAGUUCAAGGGCCUAGGGCAGCAAAGAGCUGGCUGUGCUGAGAGGUCUAUGUGGCUGGAGCCUCCUGAUUAAGAAGUCUGGAGCCAGAUCACACAAAGCCUGGUGAGCCUUGGGGAGGAGUUUGGAUGUUAUUCUUUGCGCAAUGGAAAACCGCUAAAGGAAAUCACAUAUUAUUGAAAUUUAAAUUGUGUUAUUUUUUAAACAGUCAUAUUUAGUAUUAAAAU
rnacentral:lncRNA from 13 species